rnacentral:tRNA from 1 species
GGAGACAUGGCCGAGUGGCUGAAGGCGGCGGUUUGCUAAACCGUUGUAGGGGCUAAAACUUCUACCGAAGGUUCGAAUCCUUCUGUCUCCGCCA